GACGAACCGUGCGAACGUUGUUCGGAUUCACUGGGCUUAAAGGGCGCGUAGGCGGCUCGCCAAGUCGGGGGUGAAAUCUUUCGGCUCAACCGGAAAACAGCUUCCGAUACUGGCGGGCUCGAGUGGGGUAGGGGCGACUGGAACUUCCGGUGGAGCGGUGAAAUGCGUAGAUAUCGGAAGGAACGCCGGUGGCGAAAGCGAGUCGCUGGACCCCUCCUGACGCUGAGGCGCGAAAGCCAGGGGAGCAAACGGG
rnacentral:rRNA from 1 species